GGCGCAGGCGCACAGGGGACGGUUGCUGGCCCAGGUGCCAGGAGCAGGCCCAGACCACCGACUGGAGAGCCACCCUGAAGACCAUCCGGAACGGCGUUCAUAAGAUAGACACGUACCUGAACGCCGCCUUGGACCUCCUGGGAGGCGAGGACGGUCUCUGCCAGUAUAAAUGCAGUGACGGAUCUAAGCCUUUCCCACGUUAUGGUUAUAAACCCUCCCCACCGAAUGGAUGUGGCUCUCCACUGUUUGGUGUUCAUCUUAACAUUGGUAUCCCUUCCCUGACAAAGUGUUGCAACCAACACGACAGGUGCUAUGAGACCUGUGGCAAAAGCAAGAAUGACUGUGAUGAAGAAUUCCAGUAUUGCCUCUCCAAGAUCUGCCGAGAUGUACAGAAAACACUAGGACUAACUCAGCAUGUUCAGG
rnacentral:lncRNA from 1 species